UGGCUCACCAAGGCGACGAUGCGUAGCCGACCUGAGAGGGUGAUCGGCCACAUUGGGGACUGAGACACGGCCCAGACUCCUACGGGAGGCAGCAUG
rnacentral:rRNA from 1 species